GCACAUCUGUGUGCCUGACUGCUUUCAGCGCGAGUCAUUAUUAGGCAGAGCUAAUAAGCGGGACCAGUGUAAGUUGCUUUAUAAAAGUGUAUUUUUUUGGUCUUGUAAUUUACAGGAAGCAGUACGCCGUCUUCACAACUCGGAGACAAAUUGUAGGCGCUACAAACUGGAGCAAGGACUAACCUCGCCUCAGGCCGUGACCUAUUUGCUCGGAGUAAGUCCAGAUUUACAUGAUGUUGACAAUGACGACAUUGUGUCUGUCUGUAAUUACGAGACAGUAAGCAGGAGCUUCAGGUAGAAACAACCAGAUCUCGCAUCGCAGGCGGAAGCUGUGAAGAGUUGAGCUCAAGGUCCAGCAAGAAGAAAGAGGCUGCUGGAAGCGAGACAGAGUGUGCUGGAUGGAUUGUGCGUCCUUUUCGCAGCCAGUAGAAGUACAGGACAACGCACCACAGUCUUCUGCAAAACGGACCGAAUUAAGACAGAAUGCUGCCAGUUACC